rnacentral:rRNA from 1 species
UACGGAGGGUGCAAGCGUUAUCCGGAUUUACUGGGUUUAAAGGGUGCGUAGGUGGGUAGGUAAGUCAGUGGUGAAAUCUUCGAGCUUAACUCGGAAACUGCCAUUGAUACUAUCUGUCUUGAAUACUUUGGAGGUAAGCGGAAUAUGUCAUGUAGCGGUGAAAUGCUUAGAUAUGACAUAGAACACCAAUUGCGAAGGCAGCUUACUGCACAGUCAUUGACACUGAGGCACGAAAGCGUGGGGAUCAAACAGG